AUUUGAGGAGAUUGGUUCUUCAGAGUUAUCGUUCAUUGAAGUCUCGUUGACUUCAACGUCACUAGUGUUGUUUGACGGAUUCCCGUCAUUAUUGGUGCUAUAAGGGUUUGCGUUCUCUAAAAAAGCACGAACUGUUUUACGAGUAGUAGAUAUAGCAUCAUUUCCAAUAUCAGAAAUCUGGCUCCCGGUGCGAACAGUAGAUGGACUAAGAGAAACGGCAUCAAGAUUAGUAGCCGUUGUCGUAGCGGCAGGACUGAUUUGAGAAGUAAAAGAGCCAGAAGGUGAAGAACUGACCAAUGGACUUGCUUGCUCAUGGCCAUCUUUUGAGCUUUUGAGUUCUCUGUGAUAUUUAGUAGGUGUCUUAUUUUGAACGGAUGGUGAAGUCGUUUCCCUUGUUUGAAAGAUACUAUGCACAUUAGAAGACGAGUCAUUGAGAUUUGAUGCUUUAAAGUCAGAAGUUUGAGGACUAUCGUUCAAUGAUUGUCUUCCCAUAUAUGGCGGCGGGUGAGAGAAAACGGAAUACGGCGAUGAUGAAUAAGAUUGGUUAUUUAAGGAUUCCAAAGACUCACU